AUACCUACGGGAGGCAGCAGUGAGGAAUAUUGGUCAAUGGGCGGGAGCCUGAACCAGGCAAGUCGCGUGAGGGAAGACGGUCCUAUGGAUUGUAAACCUCUUUUGUCGGGGAGCAAAGAGAUCACGUGUGGUCAAAAGCGAGAGUACCCGAAGAAAAAGCAUCGGCUAACUCCGUGCCAGCAGCCGCGGUAAUACGGAAGGUCCGGGCGUUAUCCGGAUUUAUUGGGUUUAAAGGGAGCGUAGGCCGGCUUUUAAGUCAGCUGUGAAAGUCCGCGGCUCAACCGUGGAAUUGCAGUUGAAACUGG
rnacentral:rRNA from 1 species